rnacentral:lncRNA from 1 species
UUUUCAUUUAUUAUAACUGUUUCAUGUAGUGUCUUUCAUGUAAACAUUAUAAAAGGAAUUUACUGUUGGAUGUAGAAGUUGGGGUUUGGGUUUUUUUGCCCUUUGUUCUUGUUUUGUAUGUUAUUUCUUUGGAGAACUCUUUUUUCUCCCCUUUCAGGAAAUUUCACAUAAUCUUUUCCAUUCGUCAUCAGCCAGGUUGCUGAUUACCAGAGUAACUGCCAAGCUUUCAACUCCUUGUCAUCAAUGGGCUGUGAAUGACAGACAGCAUUAAUGUUGGCAAGCUCCCACUCUCCUUUUCGCCUUUCCCAAAUGUAAUUAAACUGCACUAAUACAGCAAAAGAAGAGCUGCAGCUUUAUUUUACUCACCCUAAUAAUUAAAUCACAGAAGCACACAAUGGAGUCAAAUAAACCCAUCAUGGCACAGAAAUUCAGAGGGGACAGCUGGAUAAAGGACAGAAAAGAUGUAAUAUACAGUUUGAAUGACACACAACUUACCCACCAGAACAAGAAGGCAUUAUCCUGA